CCUACGGGUGGCUGCAGUAGGGAAUUUUCGUCAAUGGGCGCAAGCCUGAACGAGCGAUGCCGCGUGAGUGAAGACGGCCUUCGGGUCGGAAAGCCCUGUUGCGGGGGAAAAAAGGCAGCAUCAGGAAAUGGGUGCUGACUGAUGGUGCCCCGCCAGAAAGUCACGGCUAACUACGUGCCAGCAGCGGCGGUAAUACGGAGGUGGCGAGCGGUAACCGGAAUGAUUGGGCGUAAAGGGUGGGCAGGCGGUCAUGCAAGUCUGGAGGGAAAAGAAUGGGCUCAACUCAUGCAUGGCUUUGGAAACUGGAGGACUGGAGAGCAGGAGAGGUCGGUGGAACUCGAGGUGUAGCGGUAAAAUGCGUAGAUAUAUGGAAGAACCCCAGUGGCGAAGGCGGCCGCCUGGCCUGUUGCUGACGCUGAGGCACGAAAGCGUGGGGAGCAAAUAGGAUUAGAUACCCCAGUAGUC
rnacentral:rRNA from 1 species